rnacentral:lncRNA from 1 species
CUCCUACUUCCCGCGGUACUGGGUGCAACUUACAGCUGAAUGUAGUGCCAUGUUGUUAAACGAAAACCUACGCUAGCCUGGCUCGCUCUCGCGCAUCUCUGUUCGCGCUCGUGCAUGAUUGCGCGUCCAGGUACUUGGAAUGGGUGGAGUCAGAGUCAGCGUUGAAGGAGAGGGGGUAGGACCAUUUGAGUUGUGUAUUUUCAAAAUCUGCUGGCGUUUCGCAAAUCACCUACCCAACCUUUAAGUGUACUAUGGAAUCCAGAGGACUUCUGUGGGGUGUGCUCCUUUGCCGAAGAAAAUGCAGAUGGGAGCAUGAUUGAAAAGGUGCAUUGUGGAUUGUGCAGUAGGCGGGCACAUUUUGAGUGUGCCCAAUAUGCCCAUGAAAAUAAGGCUGUAUAUAUUUGCAAGAAAUGCC